ACAAUGAUACUUCCGUAACUCGCGGCCCGGCCAUGAUGAAGACGGGGAGAUAACAAUCUAUGG
rnacentral:ncRNA from 1 species